GUGGAUGCCCUGGCAGUCAGAGGCGAUGAAGGACGUGCUAAUCUGCGAAAAGCGUCGGUAAGGUGAUAUGAACCGUUAUAACCGGCGAUGUCCGAAUGGGGAAACCCAGUGUGAUUCGUCACACUAUCGUUAACUGAAUACAUAGGUUAACGAGGCGAACCGGGGGAACUGAAACAUCUAAGUACCCCGAGGAAAAGAAAUCAACCGAGAUUCCCCCAGUAGCGGCGAGCGA
rnacentral:rRNA from 1 species